CGAAGGGUGCUAGCGUUGUUCGGAAUCACUGGGCGUAAAGCGCGCGUAGGCGGCUUUGCAAGUCAGAGGUGAAAUCCUGAGGCUCAACCUCAGAAUUGCCUUUGAAACUGCAAAGCUAGAGUGUCGGAGGGGAUAGCGGAAUUGCUAAUGUAGAGGUGAAAUUCGUAGAUAUUAGCAGGAACACCGGUGGCGAAGGCGGCUAUCUGGACGACAACUGACGCUGAGGCGCGAAAGCGUGGGGAUCAAACAGGAUUAGAUACCCUGGUAGUCCACGCUGUAAACGAUGGAUGCUAGCCGUUGGGGGGUUACCCUUCAGUGGCGCAGCUAACGCGUUAAGCAUCCCGCCUGGGGAGUACGGUCGCAAGAUUA
rnacentral:rRNA from 1 species